AAAUUGAAGAGUUUGAUCAUGGCUCAGAUUGAACGCUGGCGGCAGGCCUAACACAUGCAAGUCGAGCGGAAACGAGUURUCUGAACCUUCGGGGRACGAUAACGGCGUCGAGCGGCGGACGGGUGAGUAAUGCCUAGGAAAUUGCCCUGRUGUGGGGGAUAACCAUUGGAAACGAUGGCUAAUACCGCAUGAUGCCUACGGGCCAAAGAGGGGGACCUUCGGGCCUCU
rnacentral:rRNA from 1 species